CCUACGGGAGGCAGCAGUGAGGAAUAUUGGUCAAUGGGCGCGAGCCUGAACCAGCCAAGUCGCGUGAGGGAUGACGGUCCUACGGAUUGUAAACCUCUUUUGCCGGGGAGCAAGCGUGCGUUCGUGAACGCGCGUCGAGAGUACCCGGAGAAAAAGCAUCGGCUAACUCCGUGCCAGCAGCCGGGGUAAUACGGGGGAGGCGAGGGUUACCCGGAUUUAUUGGGUUUAAAGGGGGCGUAGGCGGGACGCUAAGUAGGCGGUAAAAAUGCGGGGCUCAACGCCGUCGAGCCGUUGAAACUGGCAGUCUUGAGUGGGCGAGAAGUAUGCGGAAUGCGCGGUGUAGCGGUGAAAUGCAUAGAUAUCACGCAGAACUCCGAUUGCGAAGGCAGCAUACCGGCGCCCGACUGACGCUGAGGCACGAAAGCGUGGGUAUCGAACAGGAUUAGAUACCCGAGUAGUC
rnacentral:rRNA from 1 species